GAGUUUGAUCGUGGCUCAGAUUGAACGCUGGCGGCAUGCCUUACACAUGCAAGUCGAACGGCAGCAUGAUCUAGCUUGCUAGAUUGAUGGCGAGUGGCGAACGGGUGAGUAAUACAUCGGAACGUGCCCUGUAGUGGGGGAUAACUAGUCGAAAGAUUAGCUAAUACCGCAUACGACCUGAGGGUGAAAGUGGGGGACCGCAAGGCCUCAUGCUAUAGGAGCGGCCGAUGUCUGAUUAGCUAGUUGGUGGGGUAAAGGCCCACAAAGGCGACGAUCAGUAGCUGGUCUGAGAGGACGAUCAGCCACACUGGGACUGAGACACGGCCCAGACUCCUACGGGAGGCAGCAGUGGGGAAUUUUGGACAAUGGGCGAAAGCCUGAUCCAGCAAUGCCGCGUGUGUGAAGAAGGCC
rnacentral:rRNA from 1 species